UACGAAGGGUGCAAGCGUUACUCGGAAUUACUGGGCGUAAAGCGUGCGUAGGUGGUUUGUUAAGUCUGAUGUGAAAGCCCUGGGCUCAACCUGGGAAUUGCAUUGGAUACUGGCAGGCUAGAGUGCGGUAGAGGGUAGUAGAAUUCCCGGUGUAGCAGUGAAAUGCGUAGAGAUCGGGAGGAACAUCCGUGGCGAAGGCGACUACCUGGUCCAGCACUGACACUGAGGCACGAAAGCGUGGGGAGCAAACAGG
rnacentral:rRNA from 1 species